AUCCGUCGACGUUCCUAAGAUGACUCGGCGGGGGGCUUCCCCCGGGAAACCAAAGCUUUUGGGUUCCGGGGGAAGUAUGGUUGCAAAGCUGAAACUUAAAGGAAUUGACGGAAGGGCACCACCAGAAGUGGAGCCUGCGGUUCAAUUUGACUCAACACGGGAAACCUCACCAGGCCCGGACAUUGGAAGGAUUGACAGAUCGAUAGCUCUUUCUCGAUUCAGUGGGUAGUGGUGCAUGGCCGUUCUUAGUUGGUGGAUUGAUUUGUCUGGUUAAUUCCGAUAACGAACGAGACUCUGACCUAUUAACUAGGCGAUCCCGGUAUAUACAGCUACCGGCGAGAUUUAUUCUUCUUAAGGGGACAGGCGGCUCUCAGCCGCACGAGAUUGAGCGAGAACAGGUCAGUGAUGCCCUUAGAUGUUCUGGGCCGCACGCGCGCUACACUGAAGGAAUCAGCGUGUGUUCCCCUGUCCGAAGGGUCCGGGUAACCCGCUGAACCUCCUUCGUGCUAGGAAUUGGGGCUUGCAAUUGUUCCCCAUGAACGAGGAAUUCCCAGUAAGCGCGAGUCAUAAGCUCGCGUUGAUUACGUCCCUGCCCUUUGUCCACACCGCCCGUCGCUACUACCGAUUGAAUGAUUUAGUGAGGUCUUCGGACCGGCGAUAACCGGCAUAUCGACUCGCUCGGUAUCGGUUUCGCUGGAAAGAUGACCGAACUUGAUCAUUUAGAGGAAGUAAAAGUCG
rnacentral:rRNA from 1 species